GCCUUCGUAGUGUAAUGGUCAACACACUCAACGUGUAAUCGAGAGGUCCAAAGUUCGAUUCCCGGCAAAGGUA
rnacentral:tRNA from 1 species